GUAGGGUGCGAGCGUUAUCCGGAAUCAUUGGGCGUAAAGAGCUCGUAGGCGGUUCAGCAAGUCGGCUGUGAAAUUCCGAGGCUCAACCUCGGAACUGCAGUAGAUACUGCUGUGACUCGAGUCCGGUAGAGGAGAAUGGAAUUCCCGGUGUAGCGGUGAAAUGCGCAGAUAUCGGGAGGAACACCAGUAGCGAAGGCGGUUCUCUGGGCCGGCACUGACGCUGAGGAGCGAAAGCGUGGGGGUAGCAAACAGGAUUAGAUACCCUGGUAGUCCACGCCCGUAAACGUUGGAUACUAGGUGUGGGGUUCCGACCAACCGGUCCCCGUGCCGAAGCUAACGCAUUAAGUAUCCCCGCCUGGGGAGUACGGCCGCAAGGCUA
rnacentral:rRNA from 1 species